AGAACGAACGCUGGCGGCGUGGAUAAGACAUGCAAGUCGAGCGCUGAUUAAAGGGUAGCAAUAUCUUUUAAUCGGAGCGGCGCAAGGGUGCGUAACACGUGGGUAAUUUGCCAUGAAGUUGGGGAUAACUUGCUGAAAGGCGAGCUAAUACCGAAUGUGGCCAGAUGGAGGCAUCUCUGUCUGGCUAAAGUUGGGGAUCGUAAGACCUGACGCUUCUUGAUAAACCCGCGGCCUAUCAGCUAGUUGGUGAGGUAACGGCCCACCAAGGCUAAGACGGGUAGCUGGUCUGAGAGGACGACCAGCCACACUGGAACUGAGACACGGUCCAGACACCUACGGGUGGCAGCAGUCGAGAAUUUUUCACAAUGGGGGAAACCCUGAUGGAGCGACGCCGCGUGGGGAUGAAUGGCUUCGGCCCGUAAACCCUGUCAUUUGCGAACAAAUGUGCAUACAUAACACGUGUGUACUUGAUGGUAGACGAAAGAGGAAGGGACGGUACG
rnacentral:rRNA from 1 species